UACGUAGGGGGCUAGCGUUGUCCGGAAUCAUUGGGCGUAAAGCGCGUGUAGGCGGUCCGGUAAGUCCGCUGUGAAAGUCGGGGGCUCAACCCUCGGAUGCCGGUGGAUACUGUCGGGCUUGAGUACGGAAGAGGCGAGUGGAAUUCCUGGUGUAGCGGUGAAAUGCGCAGAUAUCGGGAGGAACACCAAUGGCGAAGGCAGCUUGCUGGGACGGUACUGACGCUGAGGCGCGAAAGCGUGGGGAGCAAACAGG
rnacentral:rRNA from 1 species